rnacentral:ncRNA from 1 species
GCUCUUUUGACGGGAGCGCCACUACGGCGCGCUCGUCAUACCUCCCUGUUGGACUAUGGCCGAGCUUUAAGCUCGGCCUUUUUU